rnacentral:rRNA from 1 species
GACGAACGCUGGCGGCGUGCUUAACACAUGCAAGUCGAACGGUAAGGCCCUUCGGGGUACACGAGUGGCGAACGGGUGAGUAACACGUGGGUGAUCUGCCCUGCACUUCGGGAUAAGCCUGGGAAACUGGGUCUAAUACCGGAUAGGACCCAUGCCUGCAUGGGUGGUGGGGGUAAGCUUUUGCGGUGUGGGGUGGGCCCGCGGUCUGUCAGCUUGUUGGUGGGGUGAUGGCCUACCAAGGCGACGACGGGUAGCCGGCCUGAGAGGGUGACCGGCCACACUGGGACUGAGAUACGGCCCAGACUCCUACGGGAGGCAGCAGUGGGGAAUAUUGCACAAUGGGCGCAAGCCUGAUGCAGCGACGCCGCGUGAGGGAUGACGGCCUUCGGGUUGUAAACUCCUUUUGAUAGUCCAUUCACGGACUAUAGAAUAAGCCCUUACUAACUACGUGCCAGCAGCCGCCGUAA